rnacentral:rRNA from 1 species
CAGUCGCCACGGGAAUACGAAGGGGGCUAGCGUUGUUCGGAUUUACUGGGCGUAAAGGGCGCGUAGGCAGAUUUGUAAGUCAGGGGUGAAAUCCCGAGGCUCAACCUCGGAACUGCCUUUGAUACUGUGGAUCUUGAGUCCGGGAGAGGUGAGUGGAACUGCGAGUGUAGAGGUGAAAUUCGUAGAUAUUGGGAAGAACACCGGUGGCGAAGGCGGCGACCUGGUCCUUUACUGACGCUGAGGCGCGAAAGCGUGGGGAGCAAACAGGAUUAGAUACCCGGGUAGUCCCUGUCUCUUAUAC